UAACUGAAACACGGAUCUGAAAACGGCUCCCUACACUGGACUCCUAAUCCCUGAAAGAGAGGAUCGGAUUUUGCACGGAAUCUGGAAGCAACCUGGAAACAGACCACUGUCCCUCUACCGCUCCAGACAGCAGAUGGAAGCAGACAGUCAAGUUUCGAGAAGUUAGCGAACACCAGCCCGGAGCUGCCAGAGAAGACGCUCGGCGCGCGAGGGGCUGGACCCAGGACGCGCAGCAUCUCUGGGGUCUCGGGCACUGGAACGGCCACCUGUAUCGGGUAAUCUCUACACCCAACAGGAGGCUCAAACUCACACCCCCAAGAUCAAGAGUCACGUGUUCCACUGAAUGGGCCCGCCAGACACUCCCAGAUUUAGUUUUUAUUCACCACUUCCUGACUGUUGUCCUUUGUGUUGACUUUUCAUUCUCAGGCUGCCUUUCUCCAUGAGAUGGCAGAAUGGCUGACUGCUUACAACUUCAAAUCGCACCCUCACCAACGGAACGAGUCUCUUUUCCUCGCGGCUGUCCACGAAAGUUCUGGGACUGCCUCUUGUUGUUCCCACUCGGGUUGUUGGCAACUCAGUAAACCGCGCUCUUGAGAAGGGGCCUGGGGUCACAGGCCUGGGUCACAUGCUCCCUUCUGGAGCUGCAGCGAGGUGGGCAGCUCUCAAGUCUCAGAGAGUGAGAAUUGAGGAGACGUAGCUUCGUGUGUGAGGUAUUUCCUGUUGGUGCCUUCGGAUGAUGUACGUCUCGACUCUUUGCUUCCUGAUUUGGAUCUCAGGAGGCCGACCUGCAUGGAGUGCUUCAGUGGGUCCCUUAUCCUCUGGCUUCCAUGGGAAUUUUUCCAGUAGAAGACAUGAGUAGGAGAUCAGAGGGGUUGGAAGAAGAUGAAGUGAGGGUAUUAGUCCAGAGGCCCCUUCCCUCCCAAGUUGCGGCGUCGUGGCUGCAUAUACGUCUACUGAGGCUUGUGUCCAGUGUCAUACAGAUCUCUGCUCUAGUUAUGUUGAAAUCUUUCUUCUCGGGGCGCCUGGGUGGCGCAGUCGGUUAAGCGUCCGACUUCAGCCAGGUCACGAUCUCGCGGUCCGUGAGUUCGAGCCCCGCGUCAGG